rnacentral:misc_RNA from 1 species
GUGAAUCAUCGAAUCUUUGAACGCAAAUUGCACUCUCUUCGGUGAGUAUGGCUGUUUGAGUGUCAGCCUAAUUAAAAUCGUCAUAGUUGCUGCUUCGCGUUAACAUCCGUCGGAAAUUGGGUCCUCUUAAAACCUUGGGUUUAAGCGGCUUAACAUUUUCUUUACGAUUCCAAGAACGUUUCUAAGCUUUUUUUUUCUUAUACGUUUAAGGUAUCCCUCUUUAUUAGACGUUGCCGUUGCAUCGGAUAUCGUCCAUAA